ensembl:ncRNA C03F11.7 ncRNA
CUACCGGCGACCGCAUUAGCCUUGUCCGGAAUACCGAACAAGCAUUGUGCGCAUCGUCGAUGAGCAUUGUCUUUGCAUUUCAAACAAUACACUGAUACACGCUAGGCUUCUGUCCGCCGUUUUUUUU